rnacentral:rRNA from 1 species
AGAGCGAACGCUGGCGGCAGGCCUAAUACAUGCAAGUCGAGCGCACCUUCGGGUGAGCGGCGGACGGGUGAGUAACGCGUGGGAACGUGCCCUUUGGUACGGAACAACUGAGGGAAACUUCAGCUAAUACCGUAUGUGCCCUUCGGGGGAAAGAUUUAUCGCCAUUGGAGCGGCCCGCGUUGGAUUAGGUAGUUGGUGAGGUAAAGGCUCACCAAGCCUACGAUCCAUAGCUGGUCUGAGAGGAUGAUCAGCCACACUGGGACUGAGACACGGCCCAGACUCCUACGGGAGCAGCAGUAGGGAAUCUUGCGCAAUGGGCGAAAGCCUGACGCAGCCAUGCCGCGUGAAUGAUGAAGGUCUUAGGAUUGUAAAAUUCUUUCACCGGGGAAGAUAAUGACGGUACCCGGAGAAGAAGCCCGGCUAACUUCGUGCCAGCAGCCGC